ACACAUAUGAUGGGGAAAUGGAUGGCUUGAAGGAUAAGUUUGACUUGGUGAUAGCUUUUGGCUUGAGCAACUUGGACAUGGUGCAAUUCAGAAACUAGUACAAAGCAGGGUCUGAACUAAAAUGAGGUUUGGAAUCAGUGGGUUGUACCCAAUAUAAUACAUUAAUUGAUGGGGUCAAACACGAAUGCAAUUAGCAAAGAUAAUGGCACACUUGAAUGAGCUGCUCCUCCAUGGAGAAAGGAUCAAAUUAAAAGAACCCAAUUGGUUUUGAAAAUAGGAAUCAAAUUAAUAUCAAUAAUGUAGACCGUGCUCUUUUGUUAUUUUCCUUUGUAUUAUUGUGGCCUUGUAGCUAAAAACCCUUGUAAUUUAGGAUGAAGAUGUUUAAAAAAUAUUGUAUCAAAUCUUCUAAAAAUGUUUCGAUGUACUCUUAAAAUGGAAUGAAUUUGGAUGAAGGGUGACUUGUA